rnacentral:rRNA from 1 species
GACGAACGCUGGCGGCGUGCUUAACACAUGCAAGUCGAACGGAAAGGCCCUGCUUUUGUGGGGUGCUCGAGUGGCGAACGGGUGAGUAACACGUGAGUAACCUGCCCUUGACUUUGGGAUAACUUCAGGAAACUGGGGCUAAUACCGGAUAGGAGCUCCUGCUGCAUGGUGGGGGUUGGAAAGUUUCGGCGGUUGGGGAUGGGCUCGCGGCUUAUCAGCUUGUUGGUGGGGUAGUGGCUUACCAAGGCUUUGACGGGUAGCCGGCCUGAGAGGGUGACCGGCCACAUUGGGCCUGAGAUACGGCCCAGACUCCUACGGGAGGCAGCAGUGGGGAAUAUUGCACAAUGGGCGGAAGCCUGAUGCAGCAACGCCGCGUGCGGGAUGACGGCCUUCGGGUUGUAAACCGCUUUCGCCUGUGACGAAGCGUGAGUGACGGUAAUGGGUAAAGAAGCACCGGCUAACUACGUG